CUAACACAGAUCGGCGGGGAGGCUGGCUGGACUAUUGGUACCUUCCUUAAUUUUGGUGCUGCUGUGGGGUUAUGUUGUGUCGUGGACUUCUGUGUUUGUGCUUUUAAAAAAACAUUAUUUAUUUAUUUAUUAUUUAUUUUUAUGUUACUUGACUGUAAGGAAAAUCCAUUUUGUUGCCUCUAAUAUGAGAUAAUGACAAUACAUUGAAUACAAAUUUUAUUUUUUUAAAUUCAGGUAGAGGUACUGUACAAAAAGCUGCAUUUAUUUUAUCAUCUAAUCUGCUGAUUCUCCAGCCUACAAGGCAGAAAUGUGUAGCAACUCCCACUUAAAAGAGAUUAACAGAGAACAACCUGGGAUAAAAUAACCACCACCUGAAUUAAUAGAAGGUCGCCAUAAUACUGAGUGACAGAUCAAGCUUGAGGAGCUGAGUGACCACCUACUGUUCAUAUGCAUGUAGGUUCCUGAUUGAGAAUGGUAACUGUACUGUGUGCUGUUGGUGUUCUGAGUCUUGUGCUUUUAUCGAUUCCUCUACACAAUUUGUCGUCCGAACACUAAAAGGGCCCAAAAAGGGAAUCACAGUGACGCAGUGGUAGAGUUGCUGCCUUACAGCGCCAGAGACCCGGGUUCAAUCCUGACUACGGGUGCUGAAUGUACGCAGAUUGUAUGUUCUCCCUGUGACCGCAUGGGUUUUUCCCAGGUGCUCCGAACCCCAAAGACUUACAGGUUUAUAUGUCAAUUAAGUUUCAAAGGUCUUUUAUUGUCACGUAUACCAAUUAAGGUACAAUGAUAUUCGUAAAGGUUAGCUUGGAAAAAUUGGUUUUGGUAAAUUUGCAAAUUGUCCCUAGUGUGGAGAAUAGUGCUAAUGUACAGGACAUUCCCUGAUCGUUGAGAAUUCUGUGGGCUGAAGGGCCUGUUUCCACCCUGAAUCUCUUUACAAUUUAAAGACUACAUGUUUAAAGGCAAGAAAGGAAGGAAUUUAUAGGCUGCCUUUCCAUCAGUCUGCAGAGCUUCAUUUUCCACUUUUAUAGAAUCUAAUAAGAAUCUUAAAUAAUUAAACUAAUUCCACAUUUAAUUAUCCUUUCCUUGGAUGUUUAAUUUAGAAGAAUAAGAUAAGGACCCGUUCCCAGCUUUAAAUAACAUUUUUAGAAUUGUGUCUUUCAUUGGCAGCUGUCCUUGAAUUUCUUCGUUCAUUAAAGACGCUUCCUGUAAUUUGCUGAAUUGGCAAAUCUUUUCUCCAUCAUCACUAGGGAAAAGUUUUGCAAGACAGCAACCAUUGAAAAUGGAGAUUUUGUCUUAAUUUAAUUGUCUACUAUUGAAUACAACCUUGAGAAAACACAAGGCCAUCACAUUGUUUUGGGAGCUGUUAGAACCACAACUGCAGUGACACGAGCCAUUUAAAAUAUAUUACCAGAGAUGGAACAAAACUGAAUGUGUAGCUAUUUGGCAGACAAUUGUAAUCUAUUUAUUGACUUUUUUUCCCAUCAACGUUAAUGAAUGUGGUGAAAGCUGGUUUGUUGAUUCAUUCUUCCCGAGGAAAGAGUAUUCCACAGGUAGACACAAAAUGCUGGAGUAACUCAGCGGUUCAGGCUGCAUCUCUGGAGAAAAGGGUGACUUUUCGGGUCGAGAUCCUUCUUCAGAUGACCUGAAUUGUCACCCAUUCCUUCUCUCCAGAGAUGCUGCCCGUCCCAUUGAGUUACUCCAGCAUUUUGUGUUUAUCUUUGGUGUAAACCAGCAUCUGCAGUUCCUUCCUACAUAAAGGGAUACUCCAUCUAUUUUCACUAAAUCAGCCUGUGUUUUAAGUGUAUUUAUUUGCCAGUGGAAGGAGAAUGAUACCCAAGAUACCACAGUUGUGUGGGGAGUCCUUUCCUGUUUAUUGGUGUUAAGCAUCACCAGUCCUACAUAAUUGUUUAGUCUGAAAUAAACGAAACGUUAAGACAAUUCAGCCAUCUCCAUUACAUUAUCAAGCUUAUCGUACACAGCUUCUUCUGGUUGCCCCAUUACAGGAAAGAUAUUGUCGCUUUGGAGAGGGUGAAGAGGAGGUUUACCAGAAUGCUGAAUUGGAGGACAAUAGCUAUAAGGAGAGGUUUUACCUGGGACAGCAGAAUUUGGGCAGAGACCUGAGUAUAUGAAAUUUAUGGGAAUCAUAGAUAGCGUAGACAGUCAGAACCUUUUACCCCAGUGUGGGAAGAAUCAUUGCUUUGACAUGUCAUGACAUAUUAUCUGAAUGGUCGCCGAUUAGGAAAAGGGGAGAUGCAGCGAGACCUGGGUGUCAUGGUACACCAGUCAUUGAAAGUAGACAUGCAGGUGCAGCAGGCAGUGAAGAAAUCGAAUGGUAUGUUAGCAUUCAUAGCAAAAGGAUUUGAGUAUAGGAGCAGGGAGGUUCUACUGCAGUUGUACAGUGUCUUGGUGAGACCACACCUGGAGUAUUGCGUACAGUUUUGGUCUCCUAAUCUGAGGAAAGACAUCCUUGCCAUAGAGGGAUUACAGAGAAGGUUCACCAGACUGAUUCCUGGGAUGUCAGGAAUUUCAUAUGAAGAAAGACUGGAUAGACUUGGCUUGUACUUAGAAUUUAGAAGAUUGAGGGGGGAUCUUAUAGAAACUUACAAAAUGCUUAAGGAGUUGGACAGGCUAGAUGCAGGAAGAUUGUUCCCGAUGUUGGGGAAGUCCAGAACAAGGGAUCACAGUUUAAGGUUAAGGGGGAAGUCUUUUAGGACCGAGAUAAGAAAAACAUUUUUCACACAGAGAGUGGUGAAUCUGUGGAAUUCUCUGCCACAGAAGGUAGUUGAGGCCAGUUAAUUGGGUAUAUUUAAGAGGGAGUUAGAUGUGGCCCUUGUGGCUAAAGGGAUCAGGGGGUAUGGAGAGAAGGCAGGUACAGGAUACUGAGUUGGAUGAUCAGCCAUGAUCAUAUUGAAUGGCGGUGCAGGCUCGAAGGGCCGAAUGGCCUACUCCUGCACCUAUUUUGUAUGUUUCUAUGUUUCUGUGAUAGAGACACAGUUUAAAGGAGAUGUGUGGGGCACACAAAGAAUGGUGAGUGCCUGGAAUGCACUAUCAGGUGUUGGUGGUGGAGGCAGAUAUGAUAGUGGCAUUAAAGAAGCUUUUAGAUAGGCACAUGAAAAUUCAGGGCAUGGUGAGAUAUGGAUCAAAUGCAGGCAAUACAAGAUUAGUUUAACUUGGUCACCUCUUCUCCCACAAUAGUCACCACUAUGAGUAAUAGUUCCCCACCUGCCUCAUUCUGAAUAUAUGGUUUCUCACCUUGCAUGGUCACCGAAGGAGCCUGUUUCAGAGGCUGCAGAAAUUUGAACUCAAAAGUAAUCUUGUGGACCUUUUCAAUGCACUUUCCAGAUUCUUAUUAUUUCCCUUGAUGGGAAAAAACCAUUGCCUGGAAAUUAGAGUCUGCCCUCUUUUUGUGAGCUGAACACCAUAGAGAGGGACAAUGUUUAAAGGAGAUAGGGGUAGCACAGUGGCGCAACACUAGAGUUGCUGCCUUACAGCACCAGAGACCCAGGUUCAAUCCUGACUACCGGUGCUGUCUGUAUGGAGUUUGCACGUUUUCCCUGUGCCAGCUUUCUCUGGGUGCUCCGGUUUCCUCCCACAUUCCAAAGACGUGUAGGACAUUUGACUUCUGUAAAUUGUCCCUAGGGUGUGUAGGACAGAACUAGCGUGGGAGGAUUGUUGGUCAGCAUGGACUAGGUGGGCCAAAGGGCCUGAUUCCACUUGUAUCUCUAAACUUAAAUUUAGUUUAUAGAUUUAGUAACUUAGUUUUGUUUAAUUAGUUUAAAAGAAUAAUGUUAAAACUUUGCUUUUCUCAGCUUAAAGCUAUGCCUUCACGUCUUUGACAUUUCCACCCUGGGAAAAGGAUACUGACUGGAGGUAGUUGAGACAGGUACUAUUGAAACACAUAAGAAACAGUUAGACAGGUACUUAGAUAAAAUGGACUUGGAGGGAUAAGGGCCAAAUGCAGGCAGGUGGGACUAGGGUAGACAGGGCAUAUUUAUUCGGCGAGGGUAGGUUGGGUGGAAGGGGCUGUUUCCCCAUUGUAUGACACUAUGACUCUGUAAUUGUAAGUUGCAGCUCAAAGUUGCUGCUUUUAAAAGUAUAAUUAAUCAAAUAAAUUCUGUUGCACAACACUGAUAAUUUAAGAAAGAUGCUGGGAGAUCACUGCGACAGUGCAGAGACUUCAAUUGCCACCUCAUUCUUAAAUCCUUCCCAACAUACUCCUGCUUGCUUCCCAUGUGAACUGUGAAGGGUGGAAGUUUUCUUCAGAAGUUAUAAGUUCUGCUGUCAGUGAAGAAAAUGUGUUCCGCAAAUCUGUGACAUCAACCUAUGCCAGAAAAAAAUGGCUACCUUGGGAAUGGGAAUCCCACACAAAAUGUUUUCAGGCCAAGUCCCUGCCGGUUGCUAGUUAACCUGGAAAAGAUCACAAGCAUGUUCUGACAACUCAGAAUCAUCUGCAGGUCACCAUGUGCAGGACUCCCAAAAAGUCAAUUUGCAAGUUGAAUCGGUAGUAAGGCAAAAUCAAUGCUAGCAUUUAUAUCGAGGACUGGAGCACAAAGUAGAGAUGUAAUGCUAAGGCUCUAUAAGGCUCUGGUCAGGCUGCAUUUGGAGUACUUUGAGCAAAUUUGGACCCCAUAUCUGAGAAUGUGCUGGCUCUGGAGAGGGUCCAGAGGAGGUUUACAAAAAUGAUUCCAGGAAUGAGUGGGUUAGAAUAUGAUGAGUGUUUGACAGCACUGGGCCUCUCCUCGCUAGAGUUUAGAACGUUGAGGAGCGACUUCAUUGAAACUUACAGGAUAAUGAAAGGCACAUAUAGAGUAGAAAGGAUGUUUCCACUGGUGGGGGAGUCUAGGACCAGAGGUCAUGGCCUCAGCAGUAAAGGGUGCUCUUUUAAAAAAGGUGAGGAACUUCUUUAGUCAGAAAGUAGUUAAUCUGUGGAACCCUUAGCCACAGAGGGCUGUGGAGGCCAAGUCAGUGGAUAUGUUUUAGGCAGAGAUAGACAAAUUCUUGAUUCGAACAGGUGUCAAGGGUUAUGGGGAGAAGGCAGGAAAAUGGGAUUAGGUGGCAGAUAUCAGCCAUGAUUGAAUGGUGGAGUAGACUUGAUGGGCUGAAUGGUCUAAUUCUGCUCCUAUAACGUGUGAACUUUUGUGUGAAAAAUAUUGUGCCAAUCUUGAAGUGCUUUAGUUGCCAAAACAAAAUGCAAUUGCCAACCCCAGGUUACCAACAACAGGCAAGUGAUCAAAGUUAGUUAGGUCACCAUGGGCAAACUGCAUCUGAAAGGAUAAUGAGUGCUGGAAUCUUGUUCUGAUUAUUACUAAUCAGUUUAGUUUAAAAAUACAGAGAUACAGCGCAGAAACAGGCCCUUCAGCCCACCGAGUCCGCGCCGACCAGCGAUCCCAGCACACUUACACUAUCCUAAACACACCAGGGACAAUUUACAAUUAUACCAAAUGCAAUUAACCUUUGGAAAUCUUUGGACUGUGGAAGGAAACCGGAGAUCCCGGAGAAAAUCCACACAGGUCACGGGAAAAAGGUGCAAACUCCCUACAGACAUGCACUCAUAGUCAGGGUCGAAUCCGGGUCUGAAUAAGGCAGCAGCUCUACCACAAGGCCACCGUGCCACCCAGUCAGUAGGUCUUUUGAGACUGUUAUGCCCCUGUCCCACUUAGGAAACCUGAACGGAAACCUCUGGAGACUUUGCGGUUCCUGGAGGUUUUUGUCAGUCUCCCUAAUGGUCGAAAGUGGUUUCCACUUUUUCUAUGUUCCGCCGAUUAUUUCAAAAAUUCAAAACCGGCCGCGACUAAAAAUAGGUUGCCGUUUUUAAAAUCGGUAAUUUUGAAGCCGGUUGCGAUGCUAGUGGUUGCUGGAGGUUGCAGGUAGUGGAAGGUAAGACCUCCACUACUAAGUCGAGGCUGGUUUUGAAUUUUUUGAAAUAAUCGCCGGAACAUAGAAGAAGCGGAAACCACUUUCGGCCAUUAGGGAGACUGGCAAAAACCUCCGGGAACCGCACGGAAAACUUGAGUGGGGCGCAAAGUCUCCAGAGGUUUCCGUUCAGGUUUCCUAAACGGGACAGGGGCAUAAUAAGUCAUAGAUCAGUCUGAAGAAGGAUCCCGACCCAAAACGUUGUCUAUCCAUUCCCUUCACAGACGCUGCCUGACCCGCUGAAUUCCUCCAACACUUUGUGGUUUGCUCAUUUCCAGCAUCUGCAGUUCCAUGUGUCUCCAUUUAAUUCCAGCAGUUGGUGACUGUCUGUGUGCCAUGCCAAAAAUUUACAGCUUACUUUACUUGCCAGCAUUUACGGUUCCGAUAUCUGCAGUUUCUUGUGUCACCAAGUAAGUCAUAAUUGUUUGCCAAAAUAAGCAGAGUCGAGAGAUAUAUUUGUAUUCAUGAAAGCAACUGUAUUGUCUUUAAAAAGAGAAAUCCAGCAAAACCAGUCACUUUAUAAAUCAGAAUGCAUCAAGUCAGAACUCCUGCCAAUAAGACAUGGAUUAUCUCUCAGCCAUUGGUUGGUCUUUUGCAUGUCCAGUUUUUCGACCCUUUGUUUCUGUUCUGAUAAUAAGCAGAUGUUAUUUGUACACUACUGUCACAUGUCUGUUGAUUCUAACUAAAGCUCAGCUAAAGUCAAUAACAGUCAUAAGAUUGUCAAUAGACAAUAUCCGAUGAGAAGAACGACAUUCCCUGUCACCGACUGCAAGCUUGCAGUGAGAGGGUUUGACAACAUCUGCCUAUUCCUCUGUUAUAAUAUACCUGCACUUCAAGUUAAGGCUGCAUAAUUGGUCAGCAGUUGCAGGGUAAAAGCUGAGUCUCACUAACUGAUUUAAAUCCAAUUUGGUCUUUUCAUUUUGAAAAGAGUUCCAGGAUUUCCGCACUGCUCUGAGGGCCAUAGACUUCACAGUCACAUUUCUAUAGUUACGUUUACAAGUCAUCAAAUAAAUCAAAUUUGUUGUGGGGAUUAUGAUCUAUAUUUACUAUUAUUUUAAUGAAAAGCAUAAAUCAUUUACAUUUCCUGGUUUUCAGAGCUUGUUUUGAACAAUGAGGUAAUAAUGUCAUAACAUUAAAUUGCAUGUACAAGGUUGCCUUUAGAUUUUCUAUGAUAACACAGGGUAUGCAUUCACUGAAUGUACAUUAAAAAAGUGAAACCAUUAUUUAAAAAAAAAAUUCAAGUAUUGUUCAUAUCCAGAGUUUCGCGUUCGAACCCAGAGUUUAGAUCCUACUAAAAGCACCGUCUCAUAUGAAGAUAUACAGUAAUCUGUUUCAUCGAAGCACCGAUUAGAUAAGGUUCAUGCAUGAAACGGAAUCCCAAUUAAACUUAUUAGAGCACAAGGCAACUGCAUUUAAUUGAAGAUGCCAAAAGAACUGUAAAGAUAAAUUAAACUUGGGGAAAAUCACAAUGGCUAGAGGACGUGUUUGGUAACUAUAGUUUCCUGAAGGAUCGACAGUAAGAAAUAUCUUAAGGGCAGCAUGGUGGCGCAGCAGUAGAAUUGCUGCCUGACAGAGCUUGCAACGCCGGAGAUCUGGAUUUGAUCCUGUUUACGGUUGCCAUCUAUACGGAGGUUGUACCUUCUCCCCGUGACCUGCGUGGGUUUUCUCCGUGCAUUUGUGCUCCAUGCUCUGUGUGGGAAGUUUUCAGUUUCCUCCCACACUCCAAAGACGUAGAGAUGUGUAGGUUAAUGGGCUUGGUGUAUGUACAAAUUGUUCCUAGUGUGUGUAGGAUAGUGUUAAUUUGCAGGGAUCGCUAGUCAGUGCAGACUCGGUGAGCCGAAGGGCCUGUUUCCACGCUGUAUUUCUAAACUAAACUAAAUCUGUUUGGACCUCUGGAGAGUCUGGAGCCAAACUUUACAAAGUUGGCAAUAGAAAAUCGGGAAAGGCCACUAAAGAUAGCACUACCAAUGGAUCCGGGAUAUAUUUUGAACGAUAAAGUAGAAUGAGACAUUUGUUAGUAAGGUGGGUAGAUAAAAUGAAGAGAAAAAUGACUGAGAGGUCUGGUGAAAGUAAUUCAUAGAGGAAAGAUAAAGAACGGAGGAAGUGUAUGAAUGCACAUGAGAAGAUGGAUUGAUGGGGUUAGAAGGUGAUUUGGUGACGAGAUGGAGAGUGGUAAUGUAUUGUAGCCUGAUAAAAAGGAAAAUGCUUAUUGUUAUAAUAUAAUUCCCUUUGUUUUGCUUUAUGUAGGCACUGCACCAGGAGGCAUGUGGUAUUAUAAAAAUAGAUUUCUGGUAAUGUUCAUAUGCAAGACUUUCAUAUUGUGACCACCUAAUAGCCCUGUCCCACUGUACGAGUUCAUUCAAGUGCUCUCCCGAGUUUAAAAAAAAAUCAAACUCGUGGUAAGCACGUAGAAUGAACGUAGUGGGUACGUCGGAGCUCGGGGACGUCUCUUAGCGGCUCGUAACGCUAACGGCAGGUGCUCGGGAAACGCGGUAAGCUUGGGAAGACUUGUGAAGAUUUUUCAAUAUGUUGACAAAUGUCCACGAGAGCCCCGAGUGCCUACGAGCGGCCAUUACCGUAAAUCUCCGCGUUCGAAUCAGGGCAAACUCAGGAGAACUCUUAGAAAUGAACUCGUACAGUGGGACUGGGCUUUAAAGCUAAAAGAAUAUCUGUUCAUUUUCCUGCAGAUUAUGAUUCUCCAAUAUUCUGCCUCUCCUCUUUAUUCCUCCAGUUUAUGACAAAACAACAUCUUAAGUAUUUAUUGCUAACCCAAAUUAAAGAUAUUAAUAACAAUAAUCUAACAAAGCCAAGGACUAAACUAGCUAAAAAUCUGUACAAGUAAUACGAGUGUCGUGUUUUAAUAACCAUAUUAAGAACUAAAAGGAAACUGAAAUCAUUU